rnacentral:rRNA from 1 species
GCAUCGGGACCUGCCCAGACGUGGGGGAUAACGUAGGGAAACUUACGCUAAUACCGCAUACGUCCUACGGGAGAAAGCGGGGGAUCGAAAGACCUCGCGCGGUUGGAUGGACCGAUGUUCGAUUAGCUAGUUGGUGAGGUAAUGGCUCACCAAGGCGACGAUCGAUAGCUGGUCUGAGAGGAUGAUCAGCCACACUGGGACUGAGACACGGCCCAGACUCCUACGGGAGGCAGCAGUGGGGAAUAUUGGACAAUGGGCGAAAGCCUGAUCCAGCAAUGCCGCGUGUGUGAAGAAGGCCUUCGGGUUGUAAAGCACUUUUAUCAGGAGCGAAAUACUGCCGGCUAAUACCCG